CCUGAUGACCAUAGCGAGUCGGUUCCACCCCUUCCCAUCCCGAACAGGACCGUGAAACGACUCUACGCCGAUGAUAGUGCGGAUUCCCGUGUGAAAGUAGGUAAUCGUCAGGC
rnacentral:rRNA from 1 species